rnacentral:tRNA from 1 species
GCGCGCGUAGUUCAGUGGUAGAACGCUGUCCUGAUAAGACAGAGGUCGAUGGUCCGAUUCCAUCCGCGCGCA